GGCUUAUCAAUAAUUUUAAGUCAAUCUGCCCAAUGAUAAAUGGCUGCAGUAUACUAACUGUACAAAGGUAGCAUAAUCAAUUGUUUUUUAAUUAAAAACUAGAAUGAAAGAAUUAAUGAGAUAUAUACUGUCUCAUAUAUAUAAAAUAAAUUUAAAUUUUUAGUAAAAAUGCUUAAAUUAAUUUAUGGGACGAUAAGACCCUAUAGAAUUUUAUAUUUGGGAGGAUUAGUAAAUUUAAAAAACUUUAUUAAAUAAACUUUAAUUUUAGAAUGAUCUUAUAUUAUAAAUUAAAAAAAUAAAUUACCUUAGGGAUAACAGCGUAAUAUCUUUUUAAAGAUCAUAUUAAUAAAGAUGUUUGCGACCUCGAUGUUGAAUUAAGAUAAAUUUUAGAUGAAGAUAUCUAAUUAUUAAGUCUGUUCGACUUUUAAAAUCUUACAUGAUUUGAGUUCAAAUCGACGUAAGU
rnacentral:rRNA from 1 species